rnacentral:rRNA from 1 species
AACGAACGCUGGCGGCAUGCCUAACACAUGCAAGUCGAACGAGACCUUCGGGUCUAGUGGCGCACGGGUGCGUAACGCGUGGGAACCUGCCCUUAGGUUCGGAAUAACUCCCCGAAAGGGGUGCUAAUACCGGACAAUGUCUUCGGACCAAAGAGUUAUCGCCUUUGGAUGGGCCCGCGUUGGAUUAGCUAGUUGGUAGGGUAAAAGCCUACCAAGGCGACGAUCCAUAGCUGGUCUGAGAGGAUGAUCAGCCACACUGGGACUGAGACACGGCCCAGACUCCUACGGGAGGCAGCAGUGGGGAAUAUUGGACAAUGGGCGAAAGCCUGAUCCAGCAAUGCCGCGUGAGUGAUGAAGGCCUUAGGGUUGUAAAGCUCUUUUACCCGGGAUGAUAAUGACAGUACCGGGAGAAUAAGCUCCGGCUAACUCCGUG